rnacentral:rRNA from 1 species
CCUACGGGUGGCAGCAGUGAGGAAUAUUGGUCAAUGGGCGUAAGCCUGAACCAGCCAAGUCGCGUGAGGGAUGAAGGUUCUAUGGAUCGUAAACCUCUUUUAUAAGGGAAUAAAGUGUGGGACGUGUCCUGUUUUGUAUGUACCUUAUGAAUAAGGAUCGGCUAACUCCGUGCCAGCAGCCGCGGUAAUACGGAGGAUCCGAGCGUUAUCCGGAUUUAUUGGGUUUAAGGGGUGCGUAGGCGGCCUUUUAAGUCAGCGGUGAAAGUCUGUGGCUCAACCAUAGAAUUGCCGUUGAAGCUGGGAGGCUUGAGUAUGUUUGAGGCAGGCGGAAGGCGUGGUGUAGCAGUGAACUGCUUAGAUAGCACGCAGAACCACGAUUGCGAAGGCAGCCUGCCAAGCCAUGACUGACGCUGAUGCACGAAAGCGUGGGGAUCAAACAGGAUUAGAUACCCUAGUAGUC